CUUUCCUGAAUAUCAUCCAGAUAUUUUUGAUUGCAGGGCUGAUCUGCAAAUUUUGUCAAGACAAAGAAAUGGGGAGUGAAUCUACAGAAUUACUGUCUAGACCUGAGGUCUCAUUUAUUCUGUGUGAAGGAAAGCUAAAGGGGGAGGACCAUGACCCAUCACAUGAAGAGAUGCUGACAGAUGUAAGGGAAUGUGUGUGGACAUUUGGUUAUUCUGUGAUGGUGAAAGUAAGUUGGCUGAUGAGGCCAAUCCAGUUGCUGUAUCAUUCUCACAUUUAGAACUUGUUUGGAAAGGACAGAGGAACAAAGAUUCCAGCAAGAAACAAAAACUACUCGACUACUAUCUUCUCAGUGUUUCUCUUCAAAAGAAAAAUUCAAGACAGGAUGUUAACUGAUUGACAGAAGCCUUGUCAAAAAGUGUGGUGAAUUCUGGAAUACUCUUAAAUAAUUCUUUUUGGGAAUGGUUUUAUUUGCAAGCACAGAUCUUAGUACCUCUGUCGUUCACACAGCUC
ensembl:lncRNA